rnacentral:lncRNA from 10 species
CGCCGCCGCGCCGGGGCGGACCGAGGGGGUCCUUGAAAGGAGCCCUGGUGGAGCUCACCCCGACCCCCGGCGGCCUGGCCCUGGUGAGCCCCUACCACACCCACCGGGCCGGGGACCCCUUAGACCUCGUGGCGCUCGCAGAGCAGGUGCAGAAGGUGCCGUGGCUCACACUUGUAAUCCCAGCACUUUGGGAGGCCAAGGUGGGUGGAUCAUUUGAAGUCAGGAGUUCGAGACCAGUCUGGCCAACAUGGUGAAACCCCGUCUCUACUAAAAGGCUGAUGAAUUCAUCCGAGCAAAUGCCACCAACAAGCUGACAGUCAUAGCUGAGCAAAUCCAACAUUUGCAAGAACAAGCCAGGAAGGUACUGGAAGAUGCUCACAGAGAUGCCAACCUGCACCAUGUAGCUUGUAAUAUAGUGAAAAAACCUGGCAACAUUUACUAUCUCUAUAAACGGGAGAGUGGUCAGCAGUAUUUUUCCAUCAUUUCUCCAAAGGAAUGGGGGACAAGUUGUCCACAUGACUUCCUUGGUGCCUACAAACUACAGCAUGACUUGUCCUGGACUCCGUAUGAGGACAUUGAGAAGCAAGAUGCUAAAAUCAGCAUGAUGGACACGUUGCUAAGCCAGUCAGUGGCCCUGCCUCCGUGCACUGAACCCAACUUCCAGGGACUGACUCACUGAGAGUGGGCUUUGACAAACAGCUCUCACAGGACCUGGCUGUCAACCUCCUUGUUGCCCCCACUGUUGCCUUGAGAAUUGAAGACAUGUAGGUGACUCACAAACUUCUUGGAAAGAGACCCUGUGUGAAUGUAAAUGCUGUCAUUAUGACUUUUAAUUGGGAUGGGAAUAAUCAUUGAGACAGAGUCACUGUCUUUCGGGAUCCUCUUUGGACCACAGAUACCCAAGUCAGUCAGUUUCAGAGUAUUGGCCAGUGUACUUUCCUUCUUCCUCUCCAUCACUUCUUCCCUUAAGUUAAAGUGUUAGAGAAGACCUUCUUCCCAUAAAAAGGUUGGUGGAUCGUUUUCCAGAGAGAACUGUUUUC